rnacentral:rRNA from 1 species
GACGAACGCUGGCGGCGUGCUUAACACAUGCAAGUCGAACGAAGAGCGAUGGGAGCUUGCUUCUCUCAAUCUUAGUGGCGAACGGGUGAGUAACGCGUAAUCAACCUGCCCUUCAGAGGGGGACAACAGUUGGAAACGACUGCUAAUACCGCAUACGAUCUAAUCUCGGCAUCGAGGAUAGAUGAAAGGUGGCCUCUACAUGUAAGCUAUCACUGAAGGAGGGGAUUGCGUCUGAUUAGCUAGUUGGAGGGGUAACGGCCCACCAAGGCGAUGAUCAGUAGCCGGUCUGAGAGGAUGAACGGCCACAUUGGGACUGAGACACGGCCCAGACUCCUACGGGAGGCAGCAGUGGGGAAUCUUCCGCAAUGGACGAAAGUCUGACGGAGCAACGCCGCGUGAGUGAUGACGGCCUUCGGGUUGUAAAGCUCUGUUAAUCGGGACGAAAGGCCUUCUUGCGAAUAGUGAGAAGGAUUGACGGUACCGGAAUAGAAAGCCACGGCUAACUACGUG